rnacentral:rRNA from 1 species
CCUACGGGAGGCAGCAGUAGGGAAUCUUUCACAAUGGGCGAAAGCCUGAUGGAGCAACGCCGCGUGCAGGAUGAAGGCCCUCGGGUUGUAAACUGCUUUUAUAAGCGAGAAAUAUGAUGGUAACUUAUGAAUAAGGAUCGGCUAACUACGUGCCAGCAGCCGCGGUCAUACGUAGGAUCCGAGCAUUAUCCGGAGUGACUGGGUGUAAAGAGUUGCGUAGGUGGCAUAAUAAGUAGCUAGUGAAAUCUGGUGGCUCAACCAUUCAGACUAUUAGCUAAACUGUUAAGCUCGAGACCGUUAGGAGUAACUGGAAUUUCUAGUGUAGGAGUGAAAUCCGUAGAUAUUAGAAGGAACACCAAUAGCGUAGGCAGGUUGCUGGGACGGUUCUGACACUAAGGCACGAAAGCGUAGGGAGCAAACGGGAUUAGAUACCCGAGUAGUC